UACGAAGGGGGCUAGCGUUGCUCGGAAUUACUGGGCGUAAAGGGCGCGUAGGCGGCCAGAUUAGUCAGGCGUGAAAGCCCUGGGCUCAACCUGGGGACUGCGCUUGAUACGGUUUGGCUUGAGGACGGAAGAGGCUCGUGGAAUUCCCAGUGUAGAGGUGAAAUUCGUAGAUAUUGGGAAGAACACCGGUGGCGAAGGCGGCGAGCUGGUCCGUACCUGACGCUGAGGCGCGACAGCGUGGGGAGCAAACAGG
rnacentral:rRNA from 1 species